UACGGGGGGAGCAAGCGUUGUUCGGAUUUACUGGGCGUAAAGGGCGCGUAGGCGGCCAGCACAAGUCAGUUGUGAAAUCUCCGAGCUUAACUCGGAAAGGUCAACUGAUACUGUGCGGCUAGAGUGCGGAAGGGGGCAACUGGAAUUCUUGGUGUAGCGGUGAAAUGGCGUAGAUAUCAAGAGGAACACCUGCGGCGAAGGCGGGUUGCUGGGCCGACACUGACGCUGAGGCGCGAAAGCCAGGGGAGCGAACGGG
rnacentral:rRNA from 1 species